UUCCGGUUGAUCCCGCCGGACCUGACUGCUAUCGGAUUGAUACUAAGCCAUGCGAGUCAUUGUAGCAAUACAAGGCAGACGGCUCAGUAACGCGUAGUCAACCUACCUUAUGGACGGGGAUAACCUCGGGAAACUGAGAAUAAUACCCGAUAGAACAUUAUGCCUGGAAUGGUUUAUGUUUCAAAUAAUUUAUUGCCGUAAGAUGGGACUGCGGCCUAUCAGUUUGUUGGUGAGGUAAUGGCCCACCAAGACUAUUACAGGUACGGGCUCUGAGAGGAGUAGCCCGGAGAUGGGUACUGAGACACGGACCCAGGCCCUAUGGGGCGCAGCAGGCGAGAAAACUUUGCAAUGUGCGAAAGCACGACAAGGUUAAUCCGAGUGGUUUCUGCUAAAGGAACCUUUUGUCAGUCAUAGAACCACUGACGAAUAAGGGGUGGGCAAGUUCUGGUGUCAGCCGCCGCGGUAAAACCAGCACCUCAAGUGGUCAGGAUGAUUAUUGGGCCUAAAGCAUCCGUAGCCUGCUUUGUUAGUUUUCGGUUAAAUCCAUAUGCUCAACGUAUGGGCUGCCGGGAAUACUGCAAAGCUAGGGAGUGGGAGAGGUAGACGGUACUCGGUAGGAAGGGGUAAAAUCCUUUGAUCUAUUGAUGACCACCUGUGGCGAAGGCGGUCUACCAGAACACGUCCGACGGUGAGGGAUGAAAGCUGGGGGAGCAAACCGGAUUAGAUACCCGGGUAGUCCCAGCUGUAAACUAUGCAAACUCGGUGAUGCAUUGGCUUGAUGCC
rnacentral:rRNA from 1 species